GAGCGGUAAUGCCAUUGUACUUCGUUACAAAACGCUGACAGCACCGGAUCGAAAAUGUUUUGGGAUCUGCUCGGUGGAAUUUUCGAGUUUAUUUUCGGGCUCUUGUUUCCUAGUUCCGGUAGUGGGGAUGAGCCAGACUCCGAGGAGGUCGAGACCACUUGAUGCGUCUACAUAUAAGUUAAUACAUUUAUCUUUCAUGUUUUUGCUUUAUUACAUCUACGUAAAAUGUGUAUGUUUAACAUAAAUAGCUUCAACAGCUACUA